rnacentral:rRNA from 1 species
CACGUAGGGCGCAAGCGUUGUCCGGAAUUAUUGGGCGUAAAGAGCUCGUAGGCGGUCUGUCGCGUCGGCUGUGAAAUCCCGGAGCUCAACUCCGGGUCUGCAGUCGAUACGGGCAAACUGGAGUACUGCAGGGGAGACUGGAAUUCCUGGUGUAGCGGUGAAAUGCGCAGAUAUCAGGAGGAACACCGGUGGCGAAGGCGGGUCUCUGGGCAGUAACUGACGCUGAGGAGCGAAAGCGUGGGGAGCGAACAGG